rfam:Cavia porcellus supercont2_25 genomic scaffold, whole genome shotgun sequence.
GGGGAUUUAGCUCAGCGACUUAAGCGCCUGCCUUGCAAGCAGGCAGUUGUGAGUUCAAUCCCUG